rnacentral:rRNA from 1 species
UACGAAGGGGGCUAGCGUUGCUCGGAAUCACUGGGCGUAAAGCGCACGUAGGCGGAUUUUUAAGUCAGGGGGUGAAAUCCUGGAGCUCAACUCCAGAACUGCCUUUGAUACUGGGAAUCUCGAGUCUGGGAGAGGUGAGUGGAACUGCGAGUGUAGAGGUGAAAUUCGUAGAUAUUCGCAGGAACACCAGUGGCGAAGGCGGCUCACUGGUCCGAUACUGACGCUGAGGUGCGAAAGCGUGGGGAGCAAACAGGG